GUUCGUACCAGAUUUAACGAUCCAUUCGUAGUUUAACAGUCAGGUGGGCAGUCCGGUGACCAGGACCCAGACACUGUCUGGGCAGCAGUCGGACGACCGGGACCCAGUAUGCCGAAGUUGAUGUUGAAGUUAGGAGUCACAGUAUGGAAUGGAUUAGCAGAGUCUGGUGCAGGGUAACCGCACGCCCCCUGGUGUUGAGCACCAGCGUUUGUGCGGCCACAUACCAGGACCCUGAU